rnacentral:rRNA from 1 species
GCACAAGCGGUGGAUGAUGUGGAUUAAUUCGAUGCAACGCGAAAACCUUACCUACCCUUGACAUGUCUGGAACCUUGGUGAGAGCCGAGGGUGCCUUCGGGAGCCAGAACACAGGUGCUGCAUGGCUGUCGUCAGCUCGUGCCGUGAGGUGUCGGGUUAAGUCCCAUAACGAGCGCAACCCUUAUCGUUAGUUGCCAGCUGGUAAAGCAGGGGACUCUAGCGAAACUGCCACCGUAAGGUGAGAGGAAGGUGGGAUGACGUCAAAUCAGCACGGCCCUUAUGUCCAGGGCUACACACGUGUUACAAUGGCCGGCACAGAGGGCAGCUACCUGGUGACAGGAUGCUAAUCUCGAAAACCGGUCUCAGUUCGGAUCGAAGUCUGCAACUCGACUUCGUGAAGCUGGAUUCGCUAGUAAUCGCGCAUCAGCCAUGGCGCGGUGAAUACGUUCCCGGGCCUU